UACGUAGGGGGCGAGCGUUGUCCGGAGUUACUGGGCGUAAAGGGCAUGCAGGCGGUCCGACACGUUUUGUGUGACAGCGGGUGGCUUAACUACCCGAGGAUACGAAAGACGGUUGGACUUGAGGACUCGAGAGGGACACGGAAUUCCGGGUGGAGUGGUGAAAUGCGUAGAGAUCCGGAGGAACACCGAAGGCGAAGGCAGUGCCUGGCGAGUGACUGACGCUGAGGUGCGAAAGCCAGGGGAGUGAACGG
rnacentral:rRNA from 1 species